GAUCCUGGCUUAGGACGAACGCUGGCGGCGUGCUUAACACAUGCAAGUCGAGCGAUGAAGCUUCUUCGGAAGUGGAUUAGCGGCGGACGGGUGAGUAACACGUGGGUAACCUGCCUCAUAGAGGGGAAUAGCCUUCCGAAAGGAAGAUUAAUACCGCAUAAGAUUGUAAUAUCGCAUGAUAUAGCAAUUAAAGGAGUAAUCCGCUAUGAGAUGGACCCGCGUCGCAUUAGCUAGUUGGUGAGGUAACGGCUCACCAAGGCGACGAUGCGUAGCCGACCUGAGAGGGUGAUCGGCCACAUUGGGACUGAGACACGGCCCAGACUCCUACGGGAGGCAGCAGUGGGGAAUAUUGCACAAUGGGGGAAACCCUGAUGCAAGCAACGCCGCGUGAGUGAUGACGGUCUUCGGAUUGUAAAGCUCUGUCUUCAGGGACGAUAAUGACGGUACCUGAGGAGGAAGCCACGGCUAACUACGUGCCAGCCGCGGC
rnacentral:rRNA from 1 species